CAUGCCUACGGGACGCAGCAGUGGGGAAUAUUGCACAAUGGGGGAAACCCUGAUGCAGCGACGCCGCGUGAGUGAAGAAGUAUCUCGGUACGUAAAGCUCUCUCAGCAGGGAAGAAAAAAAGUCUUUGGCUUUGGACGGUACCUGACUAAGAAGCCCCGGCUAACUACGUGCCAGCAGCCGCGGUAAUACGUAGGGGGCUAGCGUUAUCCGGAUUUACUGGGUGUAAAGGGAGCGUAGACGGCGGCGCAAGUCUGGAGUGAAAUGCCGGGGCUCAACCACGGAACUGCUUUGG
rnacentral:rRNA from 1 species